UCCGAUCUUCGCACUAUAUGACCUGCAAAUUC
rnacentral:sRNA from 1 species